rnacentral:rRNA from 1 species
UACGAAGGUGGCAAGCGUUGUUCGGAAUUACUGGGCGUAAAGCGCGUGUAGGCGGUUGUCCAAGUUGGAUGUGAAAGCCUUGAGCUUAACUCAAGAAAUGCAUUCAGGACUGGAUGACUAGAGGACCGGAGAGGAUAGUGGAAUUCCCAGUGUAGUGGUGAAAUACGUAGAGAUUGGGAAGAACACCAGUGGCGAAGGCGGCUAUCUGGGUCGAUACUGACGCUGAGGUGCGAAAGCGUGGGGAGCAAACAGG